rnacentral:lncRNA from 1 species
UAACACACCAUUAAGGAAAUUCAUACAAAACAGCUUAUUCCAAAGUUGAAUUAAUGUUGCACAAGAGCAAAGCCAUAUUUAUUACAAAAACCCAUACUAUUUGUUAAAACAACAACAAAAUAAUAAUAAUCCCACAUGAGAAAACCUACACUCUCCAUGAUCAAAUCCUUGGGAGAAGCAUUGAUUAGCGCACUCCUUAUCACCAAACCUAUCCGUACAUAUUUUACUAGUGCACUUUGUUUUACCAUCUGAUCCAUCUGUAUCUGUGAGCAUAUAAAUUACAAUUGAGUUAGAAAAAUAAGUGAAAAAAAAACAUUUUAACAAGUAUAUUGAAGAAGGCAAGUGAUAUAUAUAUAUAUAUAUAUAUAUAUAUAUAUAUAUAUAUAUAUAUAUAUAUAUAUAUAUAUAUAUACACACACACAGAUAUACAUACCCAUGGUGCCAUAAACAAAUGCAAUUGAGGUAUUUAAAACGAGGAAGACAACCAUAAUUUUCUCAAACUCCAUUUUUUCCCCCGAACUCUGUAGUGUUCAAUACAAUUGCAUAUAUAUUAACGACGUUUAACUCGGUUGAUGUACUAAAAUACAAUACAAUUGCAUAUAGACCGAUUUGGUAUAGAGACAUAAUAUCUCAACUUUCGAGAUAAAAUUUUACUACUACUAGUUUUCACCUAAUGUGGUUGAUGGUUUUAGACUUUAGUAGGGACCAUCACCUUACCUAUAAUGAUGCAUUAAUGAAG